rnacentral:rRNA from 1 species
CACGUAGGGCGCGAGCGUUGUCCGGAAUUAUUGGGCGUAAAGAGCUCGUAGGCGGCCUGUUGCGUCCGCUGUGAAAGCCCGGGGCUUAACCCCGGGUCGCAGUGGAUACGGGCAGGCUAGAGGUAGGUAGGGGAGAAUGGAAUUCCCGGUGUAGCGGUGAAUGACGCAGAGUAUCGGGAGGAACACCGGUGGCGAAGGCGGCGAGCUGGUCCGUAUCUGACGCUGAGGCGCGACAGCGUGGGGAGCAAACGAGGA